UCCUGGCAACAACCAAGGCUUCUUUCAAAAUGCCUCAAGCUCAGCCAGAAUUGAAGAAGUAUAUGGAAAAGCGGUUGUUCGUUCAACUUAACGGCAAUCGCAAAGUCAUCGGAAUCCUUCGCGGCUACGAUGUGUUCAUGAAUAUAGUGAUGGACGAAGCCGUCGAAGAGAAAAGUGGAGGAGAGAAAGUGCGCCUAGGCAUGGUGGUCAUUCGCGGAAACUCCGUCGUUAUGCUCGAGGCACUCGAGAGGAUUGGCGAUCGAUGAUACCCAGCAGCUGUACCUCGAAGAGAAAUCCUGGCGUGUUAAUGAAUUCAAGAAACAGGCGGAUGGCUCCCUUGCUAUCCUCAAUUAGUGUCUUAUCAUAUUGCGAUAACCAAGAAAUGUUUUUGUCUCUGUUCCAACUUUAGUUUAAGGAGUUUAAGGGAAAAUGAAAAUAUAUUAAAUGAAAUAUGAAUGAAAAAAAUACAAAAUCCCACUGGAAGUCCGACUCGACGCCCAGGGCUGGUUGUCCAAGAAAAUAUGGGUUUUUAUCGAUAGGGUCCUAAGUUGGCGGAGGUAAUUGUUGGUAAAAUACAUCACGUAUAAUUGUUCUGCAUGCUAGUGUUAAAUAGCCCUAUUUAGGUUCUCCCUUUUGCUUUUCCGUCUUGAGAAAUACCACACAAUUUGCGCCGCAUUGAUUCCAUCCUCACGCCAUGUUCUCUCACGACGGUGGCUUUCCUCUCCUUUAAAAGUUGUGGGGGGGAGAAGAAGAAAGAGAUAAAGAAAAAACGAGAGAGAAGAAAAAAUGCCCUACAAACGCCUCAACGUAACGAAAAUAGCCAUUUGAUAUAGUAGUAAGCCCUGCCGUUUAUAGCCCAGAUAAAGGAUAAAGCAAAGAAGAAACAAGAGGAAAGAAAAGGCCGUAACAUUAGGUAGUCAAAUGGGCGAACGUUGUUUGAAUUUCAAUUUCAAUUUCGGCAUCGUUGUUGACGGAGGGGUUUGUUGCGAGUUGGCGGGGGAUGAUGUCAAAGAGAGCUUCGGAACUUUCAGGGUGAGUUUAUGGCUGAGCGGCGCAGGAGCUCCUUCCUCGCGUUUCCUUUUCAGUGUACCAUUGGGAGCGGGCGCCGCGGCACCUCCUUUCGCCGGUAGAGCAGUGCGGAAACGGCUUCCCUUGAAAAAUCGGAGUUUGCCAUGUCCGAGAUUUUCUAAUUUCCAGUACCGAGGAUAUUUGAGAACGACCAUUAUUUUAUCAAUGGGGUGGUAUAAAACGCUGCAAAUGUCGACGAAAUCACUUAAUUCUGCUAAACCCACCAUGGGCGAAUUGCACGCUGCCCAUAGUGCUUCUUUUAAUGCCGUGUUACUUUCGACCUCACGCUUCAGUGCCUCUAGAGCACCAGGAACUGUUUGCCUGCGGGCAAGACUAGCCUGGCGCACUUCAGUAGAUGACUCCUGCUCGAUGAUUAGGCCGUUGGUAGGCUCCAGUUGUUUUUCAACAUUACGGUCGCCGAAAGCGAUGGGAGCAAGCCCUCGACCAAAUGAGAUAUGCAGAUUGUGUCGAAUCCAGGGUGACGGGUCCGCAGACAUCACAUAAAUGAACCAUGUCAGCAGCUCAGAGUUUUGGAAGAUGUCGAAGUCGAUCAAUAUAUUGAAAGCAUCC
rnacentral:sRNA from 2 species